GAUGAACGCUGGCGGCGUGCCUAAUACAUGCAAGUCGAGCGAACAGACGAGGAGCUUGCUCCUCUGACGUUAGCGGCGGACGGGUGAGUAACACGUGGAUAACCUACCUAUAAGACUGGGAUAACUUCGGGAAACCGGAGCUAAUACCGGAUAAUAUAUUGAACCGCAUGGUUCAAUAGUGAAAGACGGUUUUGCUGUCACUUAUAGAUGGAUCCGCGCCGCAUUAGCUAGUUGGUAAGGUAACGGCUUACCAAGGCAACGAUGCGUAGCCGACCUGAGAGGGUGAUCGGCCACCCUGGAACUGAGGCACGGUCCAGACUCCUACGGGAGGCAGCAGUAGGGAAUCUUACGCAAUGGGGGAAAGCCUGACGGAGCAACGCCGCGUGAGUGAUGAAGGUCUUCGGAUCGUAAAACUCUGUUAUUAGGGAAGAACAAAUGUGUAAGUAACUAUGCACGUCUUGACGGUACCUAAUCAGAAAGCCACGGCUAACUACGUG
rnacentral:rRNA from 1 species